rnacentral:rRNA from 1 species
CGGGAAACUGGGGAUAAUCCCUGAUAGAUCUCGGUCGCUGUAAUGCUCCGAGAUCCAAAGCUCCGGCGCUCAAGGAUGGGUCUGCGGCCUAUCAGGUAGUAGUGGGUGUAGCGUACCUACUAGCCUACGACGGGUACGGGUUGUGAGAGCAAGAGCCCGGAGAUGGAUUCUGAGACACGAAUCCAGGCCCUACGGGGUGCAGCAGGCGCGAAAACUUUACAAUGCCGGCAACGGCGAUAAGGGAACCUCGAGUGCCCGGAGAAUCGGGCUGUUGAUCUGUGUAAAAAGCAGGUAAAGAAAGGGCCGGGCAAGACCGGUGCCAGCCGCCGCGGUAAUA